AGUUUUGAGCUAAAUAUAUUUUAAAUAUUAGUUAUUUUAUGAAGGUGUUGUAAAACCUUAUUAAAAAAUAUAUUUAGGGGUGAUAGGCUUUUCAAAAACUAAGAUAUCUUGAAUCUAAUUAAAAGUAUGUAGUACAUUAAAUACAACUAUUAAGUGAUUAGGCUUUAUAGAAUUAUUAACUUAUAAGAUUUUAUUUACUAUAAUUUAAUAUUUAAGUUCAUAAAUAUAUUAAUAUUCAUAUAUUUUAGUUUAUAAUAGAGUAAUUUGAUAGAUUUAAGUUUUUAUUUCUUAUAAUAAUGUUAAUAUUAGUAUUAAGUUUAUAUUUAUAUGAUGAACUCGGCAAAAAUAUUUCUCAACUGUUUAUCAAAAACAUAACUAUGUGAAUGAAUACAUAGCGGUUUCUGCUCAA
rnacentral:rRNA from 1 species